CUAUUUAACCAUGGUGUUUACCUUCUCAAUCGUUGAAAGUGAGAGAACGAACUACACAAACAGACAGAAGUGAGAAGAGGUUAAUGUUCACAGGACAGCCUUCAAAAGUACUUCUGCAGAUGGAGAGCUCUGAUAGUGACAUUGAUACCAGCAGAAAUGAAAACGAGGAACAGCCACUGCCUGAGGCUACUGUGCACAAUCCAACUGAAACAAUAGUGAUUAAUGAGGAGUCCUUCCUGCAAUGUAUUGACCAAGCUACGACUAGUGAAGAACAUCUGAUUUUCCCUGUUGUGGAAGAAUUCAGUCCAUCACAAGCACUCUCUUCAUAAUGCAUCUACUGGUAACUGCAUUGUGAACAACCCUGACACUGCAACUGCUCUGCCCACAGCUACUAGUAAAACAAAUUCUGUCUACCAAACCACAGAAAACCAAGCAAUCAAAACCAAUCUAUUCAACAGCAUCACAAUUUGAAGAGAAUUAAAAGUAAAGUACCUUGCUCAAGAGUACCGCAGCAGUGUCCCCCACCUGGGAUUGAACCCACAACCCUCUGAUCAAGAGUCCUGAGCCCUAACCACUACUCCAUACUGCUGCUGUAGGUAAUUAGAAGACAUUACACAGAACUUCUCAUGAAUGGGCCACCCAAUUUGGACAAGGAUGAACAGUACAUUGAAGAUUGCCUAGACCCCUUGCAAAGCAAUGAGUGGAACAGGUUUAAAGGGGGACUAGGUGUGCUUGAUGCAAUGACUGCGCAUCCUGAGCUGUUCAAGAAUGCAUUCAUCUGGGAGAAGGUAGUGAUGACUUCAGAAAUUAUGGACAGUCUCUUCCAAAUCACCUACAGUCCAGUGGGAAGCAAUAGGAGAAUACUUCAAGAGAAACUUAUUGGCUACUGACGAGAAUUUCUACAGGAUUGUGAAGAGGAGGAAUGCAGCACCCAGCUACCAGAUGUUCUGUCUUUUGUGACUACAGCAAACCUAAUUCCACCACUUGGUUUCGGUCCUCAACCUUCAAUUGAGUUUAUCCAAAGUAAGGAUGGGAAUGGUAAGCUUUCCAAGUACCCAGAGGCAAAUACAUGUGCCAAUGUGCUAAGACUACCUUUUUUGAGAAGCUAUGAACAAUAUUAAACUAACAUGAAUUUUGGUAUUCAGAACUCGCCAGGAUUUGGUCGUGCUUAAUUUUGGUGUUGGUUUUAUGUAGACUUGGUAUUUUUACAGCUGGUUUCACAGACCCAGAUUAGCUCUAAUCUUGGACUACCUUACCUAAAUGAAUGUAAUAUUGAGUAGUCCAAGACUUGUGCUAAUAAGGUUCUGUGAAACUAGCCACUAGACAUUUAUUUCAGUCCUCACUUACUCCAUUUAAAGCUCUACUUGGCAUUAUUAGUCCAUGUUUCUUGGUUAAAUCAAGGCUUUUUUUAUUAUUUAUUUAUAGUUAAAUAUUGGUCACUAAAGCAAUGCAAAAAAAGUAUUUUGAAAGAAAUAAUUGCUUAUUUCAUAAAACACAUUGUCUGGAGAUGCACUUUGUAAACUUGGCAAAUAACAAAUGCAGACAUAAAACAAUAUAGAAUUAAUGAUGCAUUUUCAUGCAUUGCAAUCAGUUGAUACAGAGCCAUUAACCUGUUGGAGCAUAUAUCCGUGUGCUGUACUUUUAUUAUUCUCAUUGAAUGCUAUCUUAUUUGUUUAAUAAUGUGAAAAGCAGCACACUUAAUGAAAAGUACUAGGCCUAUUUUAUGUUUGUAUUUAAUAUUUUUUUUUGAAUAAUCUAAAACCAAAGAUGAUGUUAGGUGGAAGACUAAGAAUUAAAAUUGUGUUUACAAAAGGGUUCAGAUUUAAGGAAUUAUAUUCACAAGAUGAACAGUGAAUUGUUCUUUAAAUUGAUUUUGUGGGGCCAGUUUGACUUAUGAAAAUGUUACUAUUGCAACUUCUGACUCAUUUUCUUUAUUUCCUUAUUUGUAUGAAGAUCCUGGAAUGUUUGGUACUAUUUCACAUUUUGGAGUGCAUUUAAAAUAAAAUAAAAAUCACCACUCCCAUAGAGAGGGUUUGUCUCCAUCCCUCUAAACAGAAGACUUGUUAUAUCAAAAGGAUAGGUUUUAGGCACUUAUAGCAUUUACAUUCACCAUACAUUUAUUUGUAAAUAUGGGUAUCUUAAUUGUUUUUUUACUGAAGUAAUUUAAUGUUGGCCUCAGGGGGUGGUAGCUGGGUUGCUUUAUUAAUUAACAUCUAUCAUCAAUCUCCUAUUUAAACCCCAAUCACUCACUCUAGUGUUUUGCUUUCUUGCAUACGCUGUGACCUGUUCUCUGCGCAAAAUUUAAAACUUAAUUUUCAACAUGAACCAACUCCAAUUCUGAUUAGGAAACAUCCCUGCUGGAUUCUCCUCAACAAUAUCUCAUUUAUUUCUCAGAUGGAAACUCAGUACCGUCUACUUCUAAUACAGACUAACCCAUAGGCUAAUAAGGCUAUAGCCUUAGGCCAUCAUAUUUUGUAGGCCCUCCUUUAGACUCUCCAUUCCAUGUUGAAGUAACAGCUGAGCGAUGGUAGUGCGGCCAUCAGAAUUUUUUUGUCUCAUUAGAUGUUGAUGACAGUAGCGACACAAAUUGUAGCACCCUCAUGGUCAGUUAGCAAACUACUCACUUAGUCUACAGCCUUCACUAGUUGAACACUGUCUCUGUGGCAGUGACCCAUUUUUCAAGCCGUUUCAAUCUUGAGUCUGCCUUUGUUUUUAUUUCCUUUAUUUUAGUGAUCGCGUUUGCUUGCUUCGUUGUAUAUAGUGCUAUUGAUUUAUAGUUUAUUGUAUAGAUAUUUUACAUUCUAUUUAACCGUAUUUGUAAUUAUAAUUUUGGAACCUUGUGGUCAGACAAAUCGAUUCUUCGGAAAGCAAGGUCAAUUUCCAUGUUUUUAUUAUGUUUAUUUUAAGAUUUUCAAAUCUUUACAUUAAAAGUUAACAAUUAUUAUAAUAAACCAUUUAAUAUUUUUUAUUUUUAUAAUCUAAAAAUUGUAUCGCUGGAAAAGUUGUAGAUCUUAUAAAGUUUAAUAUUUUACAAUAUUUACAAUUUUUGUGUGGGAGGGUAGUGGUAGAGCUUAGGGAAGGACUGGAAAUGACAGCACAAGGAGCCGGAAGUGACAUUCAGUCCUGGAGCCCAGUACCAGCAAUGGUAUCUGGGCAGGAUUUUAUUUAAACACACAACGAAAAUAAAUAAUCCUGUAUUGCAGAAAAUGCCCUCCUACCCUGCAAUGAACAAUAUACUCAUAGACUGCUCCUGAUCAAAUCAAUAGCUUUUGCAGCAGCCUCAGAGCAACACAUUCUUCAUCCUCUCAGGUUCUGCA